rnacentral:rRNA from 1 species
UACAGAGGUCUCAAGCGUUGUUCGGAUUCAUUGGGCGUAAAGGGUGCGUAGGUGGCGUCGUAAGUCGGGUGUGAAAUUUCGGAGCUUAACUCCGAAACUGCAUUCGAUACUGCGGUGCUUGAGGACUGGAGAGGAGACUGGAAUUUACGGUGUAGCAGUGAAAUGCGUAGAGAUCGAGUGAAGGAAGACCAGUGGCGAAGGCGGGUCUCUGGACAGUUCCUGACACUGGAGGCACGAAGGCCAGGGGAGCAAACGGG